rnacentral:rRNA from 1 species
ACAUGGGUAACCCCAUGUAUCAUGCACUGAAUACAUAGGUGUAUGAGGGUAAACCCGGGGAACUGAAACAUCUAAGUACCCGGAGGAAGAGAAAGAAAAAUCGAUUUCCUAAGUAGCGGCGAGCGAACGGGAAAGAGCCCAAACCAGAAACUUGUUUCUGGGGUUGUGGAUAGAUCAUAAAAGAAGAGGUAUCUUAAUCGAAGAGGGCUGGAACGCCCUACCAUAGAAGGUAAUAGUCCUGUAGGUAAAAAGAGAAAACUUUAAGAUCUAAUCCAGAGUACCACGAGACACGUGAAACCUUGUGGGAAGCAGGGAGGACCACCUCCCAAGGCUAAAUACUACCUAGUGACCGAUAGUGAAGCAGUACCGUGAGGGAAAGGUGAAAAGAACCCCGGAAGGGGAGUGAAAUAGAACCUGAAACCGUGUGCCUACAACCGAUCGGAGCACGUUAAAGUGUGACGAUGUGCUUUUUGUAGAACGAGCCAGCGAGUUACGCUAUGUAGCAAGGUUAAGUACUUAAGGUAUGGAGCCGAAGGGAAACCGAGUCUGAAAAGGGCGAAAAGUUGCAUGGUGUAGACCCGAAACCGGGUGACCUAUCCAUGGCCAGGUUGAAGCGAGAGUAAAAUCUCGUGGAGGACCGAACCACGUUGGUGUUGAAAAACCAUGGGAUGAGCUGUGGAUAGCGGAGAAAUUCCAAUCGAACUCGGAGAUAGCUGGUUCUCCUCGAAAUAGCUUUAGGGCUAGCGUCGUGUAAUUGAGUAAUGGAGGUAGAGCACUGAAUGGGCUAGGGGCUAUAGUAGUUACCGAACCCUAUCAAACUCCGAAUGCCAUAUACUUGUAUCACGGCAGUCAGACUGCGAAUGAUAAGAUCCGUAGUCAAAAGGGAAACAGCCCAGACCAUCAGCUAAGGUCCCAAAGUGUAAGUUAAGUGGAAAAGGAUGUGGGAUUUCUAAGACAACUAGGAUGUUGGCUUAGAAGCAGCCACUCAUUUAAAGAGUGCGUAAUAGCUCACUAGUCAAGAGAUCCUGCGCCGAAGAUGUCCGGGGCUCAAACUUACCACCGAAGCUAUGGGUGUACACUAUGUGUACGCGGUAGAGGAGCUUUCUGUAUGGGUUGAAGUCGUACCGUAAGGAGCGGUGGACUGUACAGAAGUGAGAAUGCUGGCAUAAGUAGCGAGAAAUAAGUGAGAAUCUUAUUGGCCGAAAACCUAAGGUUUCCUGAGGAAGGUUCGUCCGCUCAGGGUUAGUCGGGACCUAAGCCGAGGCCGAAAGGCGUAGGUGAUGGACAAUCGGUUGAUAUUCCGAUACC